GAUGGACGCUGGCGGCGUGCCUAAUACAUGCAAGUCGAGCGAACGGACGAGAAGCUUGCUUCUCUGAUGUUAGCGGCGGACGGGUGAGUAACACGUGGAUAACCUACCUAUAAGACUGGGAUAACUUCGGGAAACCGGAGCUAAUACCGGAUGAUAUUUUGAACCGCAUGGUUCAAAAGUGAAAGACGGUCUUGCUGUCACUUAUAGAUGGAUCCGCGCUGCAUUAGCUAGUUGGUAAGGUAUCGGCUUACCAAGGCAACGAUGCAUAGCCGACCUGAGAGGGUGAUCGGCCACACUGGAACUGAGACACGGUCCAGACUCCUACGGGAGGCAGCAGUAGGGAAUCUUCCGCAAUGGGCGAAAGCCUGACGGAGCAACGCCGCGUGAGUGAUGAAGGUCUUCGGAUCGUAAAACUCUGUUAUUAGGGAAGAACAUAUGUGUAAGUAACUGUGCACAUCUUGACGGUACCUAAUCAGAAAGCCACGGCUAACUACGUG
rnacentral:rRNA from 1 species